ACGGGUGAGUAACGUCUGGGAAACUGCCCGAUGGAGGGGGAUAACUACUGGAAACGGUAGCUAAUACCGCAUAACGUCGCAAGACCAAAGUGGGGGACCUUCGGGCCUCACACCAUCGGAUGUGCCCAGAUGGGAUUAGCUAGUAGGUGGGGUAAUGGCUCACUUAGGCGACGAUCCCUAGCUGGUCUGAGAGGAUGACCAGCCACACUGGAACUGAGACACGGUUCAGACUCCUACGGGAGGCAGCAGUGGGGAAUAUUGCACAAUGGGCGCAAGCCUGAUGCAGCCAUGCCGCGUGUAUGAAGAAGGCCUUCGGGUUGUAAAGUACUUUCAGCGGGGAGGAAGGCGGUGGAGUUAAUAGCUUCACCGAUUGACGUUACCCGCAGAAGAAGCACCGGCUAACUCCGUGCCAGCAGCCGCGGUAAUACGGAGGGUGCAAGCGUUAAUCGGAAUUACUGGGCGUAAAGCGCACGCAGGCGGUCUGUCAAGUCGGAUGUGAAAUCCCCGGGCUUAACCUGGGAACUGCAUUCGAAACUGGCAGGCUGGAGUCUUGUAGAGGGGGGUAGAAUUCCAGGUGUAGCG
rnacentral:rRNA from 1 species